rnacentral:rRNA from 1 species
UACGAAGGUGGCAAGCGUUGUUCGGAUUUACUGGGCGUACAGGGAGCGUAGGCGGUUGGGUAAGCCCUUCGUGAAAUCUCCGGGCCUAACCCGGAAAGUGCGGAGGGGACUGCUCGGCUAGAGGAUGGGAAAGGAGCGCGGAAUUCCCGGUGUAGCGGUGAAAUGCGUAGAGAUCGGGAGGAAGGCCGGUGGCGAAGGCGGCGCUCUGGAACAUUUCUGACGCUGAGGCUCGAAAGCGUGGGGAGCAAACAGG